AUAACAGUCAUAACGGUCCCAACUUAAUCCCUUUCCUAAUACCAUUUCAAUGAGUGAAAAAGGUUACAUUAAAAGAAGAGAACGGCGCCCAAACUCCUCCGAUACAAUCUGAAAUCCACAGAAAUCUCACCCGAUAGACUGAAACGAGAUUUUUUAGAGAGAGUUCGAAGGAUAUACGCUUUGGCCGAUCGAAGUUUUAAAUAUUAGAAGAUUCCUACUGAUUUUUAAUGUCGCCCCAAAGCACUGAUCUUGUCAUUUACAAUAUAUUUGGGAAGCAGGAGUGAAACAGGAAGUUGGGGUUACUUCAUUUUUCAAAUCUGUUAAAUAAUAGUCGCCGUGUUCAUACUGACAUACGUAUCUGGGUGUGUCUGUGUGCGGGCACACGCACGUACGGAUCUGUAAUCGGACGGGUAGAGUCGGUUUUCAAGAUGAAACAGGGCACAUUUUCCACACGAGCCUAUUUACCAUCCUCCUUUUUGGACAAACGCAUUUCAACGCAUUUCCUCUCAGCAUAUCGAGACAUCUGCACCUGAAGCUAGUCAUGAGGUUAACCAUCAUCAUAGGCAGCAAAUACGUUAUUUUCCAGACUAAACCGCGGGUGUCCGUCAGCUGGGUAGAACCACCAGACCAAGAGAACAGCACGGUCCGCAAUCAUCUUUCCCCCGGGACACGUUAUUCAUCCAAGGACGUUAAGAAUUGGAAUGAAAACUUCAUCUGCGCGCUAAUUAAUCAAUCUCCGGAUUGAAGACCCAAUCGUACGUGUUUUAAGGCUCGAUCCGUCUACGGCCCGGCAACCCCCGGAAACACCCGUACGCGAGUAGCCGGGUCCUUUUUAGCGAUCUGAUAGGGAAAGCGGGGGAGAUAAAACCCGAACUGUCUACGUGAGAUUACUUAGGUGGAAAAUAAAAUCCGCGGAAGACGAGCGCUUUUCAGAGGAUCGUCUGUCCUUCCAAAGUUAGGAGCGACUUCAGGUCGAUCAAAAUCGUUUUAUCGUUUCUCGGUCAGGUGACGCCGCCAGUUGGGCUAUAGCACCUGCUAUAAGAAAUCUCUCUACGACGGUUUGGAAGCCGCUAGAGCGGUCGAACGCGUUGCCGUCCUGCUUGGUCACGACAAGGUGAUUUACAUCUGGUGACGGAGGCCCUGGCUUUAGGCAGCAGUUUUCCAGAUGCCAGGGAUGCUGGUUUCCCGCCGGGAACCGGUCCGUCAGUGGUAUUUACUGAGCGCUUACUGGGUGCCCAACACCGUACUGAGCACGUGGUCAGUCAGCACGGCCUAGUCACUAGGACCCGGGCCUGGGAGUCGGAAGGACCUGGGUUCUAAUCCCGGCUCCGCCAUGUGUCAGCUGUGCGAUCUGGGGCGAGUCGCUUCUCUUCUCUGGGCCUCAGUUACCUCACGUGUAAAACGGGAAUUUAGACUGCGAGCCCCAUGUGGGACAGGGACUGUGUCCGAUCGAUACGCUCGUCGUCUACCCAGCGCUUAGUACGGUGUCAGGAACAUAGUGAGCGCUUAAAAAAUUACACGAAAAUAAUCAUAUUUAUUGAGCACCUACCAAGUGCGGAGCACUGUACUAAGCGCUUGGGAGAGUACACUAUAGCAAUAUAACAGGCACAUGGGGGCGGAGGUUCAGAACGC
rnacentral:lncRNA from 1 species